rnacentral:rRNA from 1 species
CCUACGUGAGGCUGCAGUGGGGAAUAUUGGACAAUGGGCGAAAGCCUGAUCCAGCCAUGCCGCGUGUGUGAAGAAGGCCUUCGGGUUGUAAAGCACUUUCAGUGGGGAAGAAAGCCUUGGGGCUAAUACCCUCGAGGAAGGACAUCACCCACAGAAGAAGCACCGGCUAACUCCGUGCCAGCAGCCGCGGUAAUACGGAGGGUGCGAGCGUUAAUCGGAAUUACUGGGCGUAAAGCGCGCGUAGGCGGUCUGAUAAGCCGGUUGUGAAAGCCCCGGGCUCAACCUGGGAACGGCAUCCGGAACUGUCAGGCUAGAGUGCAGGAGAGGAAGGUAGAAUUCCCGGUGUAGCGGUGAAAUGCGUAGAGAUCUGGAGGAAUACCAGUGGCGAAGGCGGCCUUCUGGACUGACACUGACGCUGAGGUGCGAAAGCGUGGGUAGCAAACAGGAUUAGAUACCCUUGUAGUC